AGAAUCAACGCUGGCGGCGUGCCUAACACAUGCAAGUCGAACGAGAAAGUGGAGCAAUCCAUGAGUAAAGUGGCGCACGGGUGAGUAACACGUGACUAACCUACCCUUGAGUGGGGGAUAACCUAGAGAAAUCUGGGCUAAUACCGCAUAAUACCUUCGGGUCAAAGGAGCAAUUCGCUUAAGGAGGGGGUCGCGGCCGAUUAGUUAGUUGGCGGGGUAAUGGCCCACCAAGACUGUGAUCGGUAUCCGGCCUGAGAGGGCGCACGGACACACUGGAACUGAAACACGGUCCAGACUCCUACGGGAGGCAGCAGUGGGGAAUUUUGCGCAAUGGGGGAAACCCUGACGCAGCAACGCCGCGUGGAGGAUGAAGCCCCUUGGGGCGUAAACUCCUUUCGAUCGGGAAGAUAAUGACGGUACCGAGAGAAGAAGCCCCGGCUAACUUCGUGCCAGCAGCCGC
rnacentral:rRNA from 1 species